rnacentral:lncRNA from 1 species
CAGAUUUGACUUUGAACAUUUACUAUGACAUAUGGACAGAUGAUGACUUAGUGUACUGACUGGAAUUUGACUAGAAUAGUAAACAUUGGCACUUUACUAUUUUGCAUUAUGGACAUCAUGAUAGUUGGAGACUUUUACUACAUAUAUAGUUGCUUUCAUACUUAUGCCUUUCAUGCUAAGUAGAAAUAUCAUGUUGUAGUAAGUUACAUUCUACUUACCUUUCGCUUCCAUACGUUCUUAGACACUGACCC